UGCCAGCAGCCGCGGUAAUACGGGGGGCGCAAGCGUUAUUCGGAAUUAUUGGGCGUAAAGGGCGCGUAGGCGGUCUUGUCAGUCACGUGUGAAAUCCCCGGGCUCAACCCGGGAAUUGCGCGGCAAACCGGUAUUCUUGAGGCAGGUAGAGGUGACUGGAACGACUGGUGGAGCGGUGAAAUGCGUAGAUAUCAGUUGGAACGCCGGAGGCGAAAGCGAGUCACUGGGCCUGUCCUGACGCUGAGGCGCGAAAGCGUGGGGAGCGAACAGGAUUAGAUA
rnacentral:rRNA from 1 species